UAUAUGAGGUGUGUUCAGAAAGUAUCCAACUUUAUUUUUUUCUCACCAAAAUGAAUACCACGUGGGCAAAAUCCUUUGGGUGGAAGGCGAUGUCACUCUUCCUUGCAUAUGUGUGGAACUUUUUGCUCCAGUAGACCGUGUCAGUCUGUUCUGGUGCACACUUGUCGAAUUUUCGUUUUUGCACAAGACGGCCAAACGCAUCAAGUAGAAACCUUACAUCAGGUUUUGCCAAAAGCUUGGUGAUCCUCAAAUUCAAAGCAUCGAGAAGAUUCUGCAGGCCCUUGGCGGGGAUUCCAUUUGUGAAACUCAGAUCAAAGGGCGGUACCACUGCUUCAGAUGUGGCCACACUGCAGUAGAAUGCGAGGCAUGCUCAUGCAGGCCAUCCACAAACUGAAAUGAGGAGCUGAUUGAGGUUUAAUGAAUAGUCGUGAAUAGACAUCAGAAGCAGAUGCCUCAUUAUACUUUCUGAAGUAUGGCCAACUGAGACAAUGAAUAUUAUUUGACCAUCUUAUUCUUGGCGAACCCCUAGUUCUUGUACAGUCACAGGGUAGAGUCCUUGUACAUGUAAAAAAUCCAGGAAAUUAUUCAUGAAGUGAGAAUAAGCACAGGAUCAGUGCAUUUCCAUUUUAAUGGAGGAUUUGUACAUGUGGAGAGUAUCGGCUGAAAAAUAAGCCGGAUACUUUUUGAAUGCACCUUGUAAUCCAAGCUUAUCUGGUCGGGAACAACAUCCCACUUAUUUGACAGGUUUCUUACUUUCCUGACUUGGCACCAUGUGACUUCUGGCUCCUCUCCAAACUGAAAGGUCGAAGGGCAAAGUUGAUCUCGGGGAUUUGACCUGAGAGCAUAAAGAGCUAGAAGAACUGACCUUAAGUAUUUCAUCCGAUGCAGCAGUGAUUCUGCCUUAGGGUUAAUUGUGAGAAGAAAUUAUGAGAAAAGUGAUGGUAGAACUCCAUAGCUUUCCAGAGAUGGCCUUCCAGAGGUAUUUAUUACCAGCCGUGGAAGAAUCAUUGGGAGAAGUAUGUGAACUCCCAAAGGGGAGUAUUUUGAAAGUUAUUGAAUAAAAUUCGGGAAUUGUACAAAAUUGUUUUUUAACCCCAAAGGUUGGAUUCUUUUUGAAGGCAUCUUGUAUAUAUGUAUGUGUGUGUGUGUAUAUAUAUAUAUAUAUACGUAUAAGCACGUGGGUAUAUAUAUAUGUGUGUGUGUGUGUAUAUAUAUGUGUACACACAAAUGUAAUGUGUGUAUAUAUAGACAGGCUCGUAUACAGAUAUACACACACACACACACAUAUAUAUAUAUAUAAACACACAAGCAUCAAUACAUAUAUGUUGUGUGUGUGUGUAUAUAUAUAUAAUACCCACAUAUGUAUAAAUACAUAUACUAAAUGUAUAAUAUAUACCAUAUAAUUAUAUGUAUAUUAUUUAAUAUAUCCAUCAUUUAUAUGGUAUGUAUUUUAUACAUGCAUAUAUAUAUUUCUUCUGUGUACAUCCUAUUUAUACAUAUAUAUAUGUGUAUGCUAUAUAUAUAUACUUAUAUUUGAUAAAUAGUGUAUGAUAUAUACACAUGUAUGUGUGUGUAUAAAUUGAUAUAUAAUAUAUAUAUAUAUGCAUAUAUAUAUAUAAAUAUGUUUUAUGUAUGUAUAUAUACAUAUAUAUAUAUGCAUAUACAUACAUGCAUUUAUACAUACAUAUACAUAAUCUUGUGGUUGACAUCAAAGAGAUAUGUUUACGAACGUAUUCAUUUUUCUCUCCAUUUUUUUUUUGGUCCGACACUAAAAAAAAAAACAACAAAAUAAUUAAAUAAAAAUAAUAAAAAACCUGUAAAGUAUUAAGG
rnacentral:lncRNA from 1 species